rnacentral:rRNA from 1 species
CGUCAGGUCAGUAUGGCCCUUACGCCUAGGGCUGCACACGUACUACAAUGCCCAGCACAAUGAGAACCGAUACCGCGAGGUGGAGGAAAUCUGCAAAACUGGGCCCAGUUCGGAUUGGAGGCUGCAACUCGCCUCCAUGAAGUCGGAAUCGCUAGUAAUGCCGUAUCAGCUACGACGGCGUGAAUACGUUCCCGGGUCUUGUACACACCGCCCGUCACAUCAUGGAAGCCGGUCGCACCCGAAGUAUAUGCGCUAACUUUAUUGAAGCAGUAUCCUAAGGUGAGGCUGGUAACUGGGAUGAAGUCGUAACAAGGUAGCCGUAGGGGAACCUGCGGCUGGAUCACCUCCUUU